rnacentral:rRNA from 1 species
GACGAACGCUGGCGGCGUGCUUAACACAUGCAAGUCGAACGGAAAGGCCCUGCUUUUGUGGGGUGCUCGAGUGGCGAACGGGUGAGUAACACGUGAGUAACCUGCCCUUGACUUUGGGAUAACUUCAGGAAACUGGGGCUAAUACCGGAUAGGAGCUCCUGCUGCAUGGUGGGGGUUGGAAAGUUUCGGUGGUUGGGGAUGGACUCGCGGCUUAUCAGCUUGUUGGUGGGGUAGUUGCUUACCAAGGCUUUGACGGGUAGCCGGCCUGAGAGGGUGACCGGCGACAUUGGGACUGAGAUACGGCCCAGACUCCUACGGGAGGCAGAAGUGGGGAAUAUUGCACAAUGGGAGGAAGCCUGAUGCAGCGACGCCGCGUGCGGGAUGACGGGCUUCGGGUUGUAAACAGCUUUCGCCUGUGACGAAGCGAGAGUGACGGUAAUGGGUAAAGAAGCACCGGCUAACUACGUG